rnacentral:rRNA from 1 species
GAUGAACGCUGGCGGCGUGCCUAAUACAUGCAAGUCGAGCGAACAGACGAGGAGCUUGCUCCUCUGACGUUAGCGGCGGACGGGUGAGUAACACGUGGAUAACCUACCUAUAAGACUGGGAUAACUUUGGGAAACCGGAGCUAAUACCGGAUAAUAUAUUGAACCGCAUGGUUCAAUAGUGAAAGACGGUUUUGCUGUCACUUAUAGAUGGAUCCGCGCCGGAUUAGCUAGUUGGUAAGGUAACGGCUUACCAAGGCAACGAUGCUUAGCCGACCUGAGAGGGUGAUCGGCCACACUGGAAGUGAGACAGAGUCCAGACUCCGACGGGAGGCAGCAGUAGGGAAUCUUCCGCAAUGGGCGAAAGCGUGACGGAGCAACGCCGCGUGAGUGAUGAAGGUCUUCGGAUCGUAAAGCUCUGUUAUUAGGGAAGAACAAAUGUGUAAGUAACUAUGCACGUCUUGACGGUACCUAAUCAGAAAGCCACGGCUAACUACGUG